UACAGAGGUCUCAAGCGUUGUUCGGAUUUAUUGGGCGUAAAGGGUGCGCAGGUGGUCUGAAAAGUUAAAUGUGAAAUCUUAGGGCUCAACCCUAUUAAGCAUUUAAUACUUUCGGGCUAGAGGUUUGUAGAGGUAACUGGAAUUUACGGUGUAGCAGUGUAAUGCGUAGAUAUCGUAAGGAACACCAAUAGCGAAAGCAAGUUACUGGGCAAUAUCUGACACUAAAGCACGAAGGCUAGGGGAGCAAACGGG
rnacentral:rRNA from 1 species